rnacentral:lncRNA from 1 species
AAUUGGCUGGUCUGGGGUGAAGGGAUAGCACUAGGUGAGGGGUAAUAAAAGGUAAAUAAUAUGAGUAUGUAAUAUAGAGAGUGAAAAUACUAUAUGAGCUUGAUAUACAUAACUCUGUAUUGCAAAUUUGUUAAAGAAUGUAUAAGUUUUAAGUAUAAAUAAAUAAAUAAAAUUUUUAAAAAAGAACAAGCUUGGGCAAACUUCAGCCCUCCAGGCGUUUUGGACUUCAACUCCCACAAAUGUGGGAGUUGAAGUCCAAAACACCUGGAGGGCUGAAGUUUGCCCAUGCCUGGGUAAGAAAGGCAGAUGGGUAGUCAUGUGGCCCUCGAAGUAUUGGUGGUCUGCCUUUCCCAAAGGCAUUGCAGUCAACUGACCACUGAAAGAUUCUUGGGUUAGCAGCUUAACACAAGUUUUUCGUACAGCUCUCCAAACCUUUUUCCACAUGGGAUGCAAAGGCCCAUAGUUUGGGAAUCACUCCUUUAAUCGUCAAAUGGAAUAAGAGAAGUCUGCUCAGAAAUGUUAUGACACUGCGGCAGAUUGAUUUCAGAACCUGCCUUUUUCAUCAGGAAGCUGAAAUCACAUUUUUCCCAGGUCCGUUUCUACACCCGACUACAAAGCACAGAGUCUCGCAGUGAAGGGGCAGAGCUGAGUUGAGGAAUGUUAACAUAACAAUUGCCCAAGAAGAGGCCUGUUGUGGCUGUGAUGAAUCUUUCCCUGCCAUUCCCUACGAAAAAGGAAAACUUUGUGCGAACACACGUCAGCCUCUUCACAUGCCGCAUGAUGCCGAAUAGGAGAGAAGGAGCUGUGACCUGCUGCCACGUGGCCCGUUUCAGCUAAAAAAAAAACCAUGACGGCUGAGCCUUUACCAUUACAGCCAACCAAACAACCAAACAAACUUGAUUGCUGAAGGGAACUGACCAAACCGAAUCCGUGCACAAGCCUACUAAACAUAAGGUACUUCUGUUCCUUUGGUUUCCUUACUCUAAGAGGCUGAGAUAAAGGACUUUAUCGCAUGAACAUGCUACUCCACUAGUCACACUAUCAUUGAUAGUAGAGAUACAUACCAAGUAGCACACCUUCGGUAUUGUACCAUAGCUCAAUUGAACAAUUGUGAAACUUGUUUCCAAAAGGUAUCAAAUCCAUGUGAAUAAAUUUUACAGGAAUAGAAAUAAUGUGCUGAGGACAUGCAUUCUUUUGCUAUAAAAUGCAGUUUUCCAAUCUCCAUAUCGAAGUGAUACAGUGCACCCUUGAGCAUUUGUGGUCUCAUAAUUAUACUUUCACAUACCCUUACAACCCCAUCUUCCAAAACUUCUAUUUUCCAUAUUUUUACAAAUUUUAGAGCAUUUUGGUAAUUUUAGCUUUGAAAAACUAUGGGGUAUCACUAUUCCUUCUGCUUCCCAAUUCUAAGAAGCUGAGACUGAGGACUUUACUGCAUGAACAGUUGUGCUAUCAUUGAUAGCAGACACAUACCAAGUUGAGACCUCAGUACUGCCUCACUCUACAAUAGCAGAAUUGUGCUGAUUUGGCACAUGAUCGUACUUCCACAAGCCCUUGUGACACCACCUUCCCAC